CUUGGCUAUUUUUUAAAAAACUCAGAAUGAUAAUUUUCCUCUCCUUUCACUAAAUUCUCACAUAGGUAAUAUAAUUAUUUUAUUUACUUUAGUACCUUCAAAGAUCAUUACAAAUCUGCUAAGUUUUAAUUGUUCAUGAAGAUCGGUGAUGUGCAAACAAUCUCAAAUCUAUUUUCAUUCCCCACAAUUUGCAUUUUUAUGUUUCAGAUUUGCACGUGCAGCAAUAAGAUGCUAGAGCUGAUUGCUAAUUGCUUAAAUAUAUGAAGAAAUUUCAAGAGAGGCAGAACUACAAACAUUUUUCUGAAAGGCAAGUCCCAGAAGAGACCCAUGGAAAGGAAAUGGAAAAGAAAACAAAUGAGCUCCCACAACGAGUUAAGUCCAGAGGCCACAAUUAAAGGGAAAUAAUAACGACACCCAGAGAUCCUGGGCUCUAACAUAUCCUGGAAAGGAAGCCCAGGUCCCCAUACCUCUGAGGCA
rnacentral:lncRNA from 1 species